rnacentral:lncRNA from 1 species
CAGCGAGGCAGGGAGGGGAGGCUGACUUCUGAGAUCUGAAAGAAGAGAUUGAUGCUGGGAGAGAGAGAAGCUUAAUGUUGAUAUUCAUCAGAGAUGAGCCCCUUGGCAUUGCAGCCUGAGACUUAUCAGAAAAGAAGAAAAGCUGUCAUGGCCACGGAGGUGUCCCUUGGUCGGGCUUGCACCUGCACAUCUCCCUUCGGUGACAAGUACAAGGCUGUAGCAGGGGAGUCUGAUCACGUCUCUACUUCCCGGAGCUCAUGGCACCUGUGGGACAGGACAUUUACCUUCAAGGCCUGAGUUGCUCCCCAUCAAGGCCUUCAUAGGGCGGAGAUACCUUUGGCGGAAGAAGAGAAAAUGUUCCUUAUGUGGUAUUUUGCCUGUGACAAAUAAAUACUC